rnacentral:SRP_RNA from 1 species
CGCUGUAAUGGCGUGGCGGAGCGGCCAAGACUAGGUCUCGCACCAUGGGAAGCACAUACAGCUGAGGUGUCCGUUUCGACCCGUGCGGUCGCUUGUUGCACACUGCGAGGAAUCCAGUGUUGCGCAUGCAGCAAAGAGCCGGAGUACCGCUUUAGGGUAGUGAUACAGCAAAGCGCCCGGUCCGUGUGGGGGCGAGGAGGACUGCAUCUCGCUGGGUAAUGUGUGUUUCCCGUGGGGCGGUUGUUGGCGUAACCGUU